rnacentral:rRNA from 1 species
UGGUCACAUGGGGAUGGGGGANAUCCCGAUGGGAUUAUAUACCCCAUAAUCUGAUGGUACUUGAUGAAAAAGCCACGGCUAAUUCCGUGCCAGCAGCCGCGGUAAUACGGGAGUGGCAAGCGUUAUCCGGAAUUAUUGGGCGUAAAGCGUCCGCAGGCGGCCCUUCAAGUCUGCUGUUAAAAAGUGGAGCUUAACUCCAUCAUGGCAGUGGAAACUGUUGGGCUUGAGUGUGGUAGGGGCAGAGGGAAUUCCCGGUGUAGCGGUGAAAUGCGUAGAUAUCGGGAAGAACACCAGUGGCGAAGGCGCUCUGCUGGGCCAUCACUGACGCUCAUGGACGAAAGCCAGGGGAGCGAAUGGGAUUAGAUACCCCAGUAGUAA